rnacentral:misc_RNA from 1 species
UAUCAAUCAGAUAGCACAAAUUUGUAAAACUUAAAUUUACAUACAUAUGAUAUUUUGGAUGAAUAUGGUAUACACAUAUCCAAAUGAAACAUUUCCUGUAAAAGAAAAAAAAAAUGAAACACUCACGUAUUAAACUAUCCCAUUCUCUUUUGUACUCAGAGAAUUACUUGACAGAGAAUCCAAGUAAUGAACAUAACAUCCCUCAGAAGAAAAUUCGGAGUUAAUGCUAGAACAUUAUGAUCUUGAGAUCAAGCAUUGAAGAUUAUAGCCCUGCUCCAGGAUGCCACUUUAUGCUGCAUCCAACACUUUGUUUCUGAAUUGAUGAGACUGGCUGGCCACUAAGAACACAAUCUAUCGCCAGACUUAGGUCCCUUCCAGUGACAGGCACAUUAUUAUUGGGUCGGGAAUCAUCAAACUGGCCAUGAUACACCAGGUCAAAUGGCCUUCGACCAUCCUUUUUAAACAGAAAAAACUCCGGCGUGCAAACUGCUCCAAAAUUUCGAGCAACUUCUUGUGACUCAUCAUAUAGAUAAGGAAAUGGGUAAUUAAAUAUUUUAGCCUCUUCUGCCAUGAAUUCUGGCCCAUCCUGCGGGUGAGUAGCCACAGAAUUUGAAGAUAUGGCAACAACUGCAAGUCCUUUCUUCAUAUAGAAAUUUGAAAGCUUCACUAUAUCCUUCUUCAAGUGUUUAACAAAUGGACAGUGAUUGCAGAUAAACAUAACCAGCAAAGCAGGAUAUGACUCAAAAUCUUCCGCUUUCCACAUUUUCCCAGUUAGAGGCUCUGGCAGCUCAAAAUGAGGCGCUCUGAAGCCUAAGGAGACACCUUGUGACUCAGUCCUAGCAGCUCGAACUAAGAGCUUCCUGAAGGGCAGAGUGUUGUUCUUCCUGCACCGGAGCUGCAGAGGAUUGAAACCCAUAUUCGAGGAUGCCCAUGUAGACACAAAGGCUGCACUGGGUUUUGAUAACAUGGGCUGGAAAGGCAGUAUUCGUGCGCCUGCUGCUACGAACGCCACACUCAUCAGAGCAGUGGCAGCCAUGGUUGUGUCUUUGAUUAUUGAAAUUCUGUUGGAGAUAGUGUUCCUUUUGCGGCUUUUGCCCGUUGCCUCCCCCCUCGGCCGCAGGCUCUGAUGAGGGCAAAAAGCGUCUUUUGCGCUUAAAUGGGCAAGGUUACCAU